rnacentral:tmRNA from 2 species
GGGGCUGAUUCUGGAUUCGACGGGAUUUGCGAAACCCAAGGUGCAUGCCGAGGGGCGGUUGGCCUCGUAAAAAGCCGCAAAAAAUAGUCGCAAACGACGAAAACUACGCUUUAGCAGCUUAAUAACCUGCUUAGAGCCCUCUCUCCCUAGCCUCCGCUCUUAGGACGGGGAUCAAGAGAGGUCAAACCCAAAAGAGAUCGCGUGGAAGCCCUGCCUGGGGUUGAAGCGUUAAAACUUAAUCAGGCUAGUUUGUUAGUGGCGUGUCCGUCCGCAGCUGGCAAGCGAAUGUAAAGAUUGACUAAGCAUGUAGUACCGAGGAUGUAGGAAUUUCGGACGCGGGUUCAACUCCCGCCAGCUCCACCA